rnacentral:rRNA from 1 species
UACGUAGGGGCAAGCGUUGUCCGGAAUCAUUGGGUGACGUAAAGAGCGUGGUAGGCGGCCCCAUUAGUUCCGCUGUGAAAGUCCAGGGCUCAACCCUGGAAUGCCGUGGAUAUGUGGGGCUAGAGUCCGGAAGGGGCGAGUGGAAUUCCUGGUGUAGCGGUGAAAUGCGCAGAUAUCAGGAGGAACACCAUGGCGUAAGCAGCUCGCUGGGACGUGACUGACGCUGAGACGCGAAAGCGUGGGGAGCGAAACAGG